GGCUUAGUAGUGUAGUGGUUAUCACUCGAGAUUCUGACUCGGAGUUUCUCGUAACCACGGUUCGAGUCCGUGCUAGGCCU